AAGACAGAUGAUCGCGGCUGCAAGUGCCGAAAGGCCGCAGGUGAGGAAAGUCCGGGCUUCACAGGGCAGGAUGCCGGAUAACGUCCGGCGGAGGCGACUCCAGGGAAAGUGCAACAGAAAUAUACCGCCAGUGCUUGCACUGGUAAGGGUGGAAUGGCGGUGUAAGAGACCACCGCUUCGCUGGUAACAGAGGAGGCAUAUGUAAACCCCAUCCGAAGCAAGACCGAAUAGAAAGCAUACAGUGGCCCGCUGGCUUUCGGGUAGGUCGCUUGAAUCAGAUGGCGACAUCUGAUCUAGAUAGAUGAUCAUCCACGACAUAACCCGGCUUAUCGUUUUGCUCA
rnacentral:RNase_P_RNA from 1 species